GAGGGCGCAGGGCCCCGAGGGCCGGUGCUGGGGUGGAAUAAGGGCGUUUGUCGGGAGCCCGGGGGGUUCGGCCCAGCCCCCGGCAGGGCCGGGAAGGCAAGGCAGGUGCCUGGGCUGUGGUGUGCUUGAAGUGACUGAAAAUCGGGGCCCUGUGGCCGACCCGCAAAGUGUGGGGCAGGAUGCCUGGACAGGCCAGAAUCCCUUACACCCAGGGGUUUUAAAUACAAAUUUAACGCAACAGGAGCAGUUUGGAUUCUGCCUUGAGCGUGAGGCCAGGCUGGGUCACCUCAGGCCCCUUUGCACCUGGGCAGUUAUGGACUAAAAGUGUUCUGGUACCUUUGGUGUAGCUCUCGGCCAUUAAAAUGGAUUUUUUCCUCAGGGUAUGCACUCGGUAGUGAACACGAGGCCUGCAUUUUAAAACUGUUUAAUUAUUUUGGUACAAGCUUGCAUAUGGCUCUCUUGCCGGAGAACUAGUGAAAUUACAUGUUGCACAAAGCCAGGGAGUGAAAACUGAGCAAAUGGGAUUUUGUACAUAAACACUAUUUGGAAUACUGCCUUAAAAUGUUUAACUUCAGUGGUUGACUAACACUCGCAUUAGAAGUAAUCUUUGACAAAUAAUCAACACUACCCGCCUCGCAAGAUGGCCUAGGUUUACCCUAACGAGUUCUGUAGGCACAAUUUCUUAGGGGCAAGUUAUUUAUUUUCCAGUGUUUUGCUGAUAGAGCUAACCUAGUACAAACACGGCUUGGAGGCAGAAAGUACGACUUCACUGAUACUGCUUAAUUUGCUUCCCGAAGCGGUGUGAGCGGCGCAGGCAUUUCUGUUGGCAGAGCCGUCUGCCCGAGGAGGCUGCCCCAGCCCACAGCCCUGCCUGGACCACGUUGGUAUUUUUCAACGGCCUCCAAGGUGUUUCAAUGGUGGAAGCAUCCAAAAAUAACUGCCCCAGAAGCUUUAAUGUAGGAGCACAGCUGUCAGAGUGUGUUGCUGUGGGAGCGCUCGCAGGAUACCUCAUUCCACCAGGGCUCUGCUGGUCACCUCGGCACAAACUAAGCUGAAGGAAGAGGAGCUGCUUUAACUGAAAUUCAUUUAACUGGAGAAAACCUCACUGUCCAAACAGGACCAGCUCUAACCGCCUCCAGGUUCUGCUGGUGGCGAUGUCUCACUGGACUGGUCUCCUCUCCACCGCUCCCAAAGUCAACCUGCUGGUCUUGGUGGUCUCUGCGGUGUUUUUCUGGUCAAGCCUGAGCGACAGAGUUCCUGUAAGU